rnacentral:rRNA from 1 species
GACAGAGGUGCCAAGCGUUAGGCGGAAUCACUGGGCUUAAAGCGUGUGUAGGCGGAUCGUUAAGUACCUUGUGAAAUCCCACGGCUCAACCGUGGAACUGCUGGGUAUACUGGCGAUCUUGAGCCACCUAGGGGCGAGCGGAACAAGCGGUGGAGCGGUGAAAUGCGUAGAUAUCGCGUGGAACGCCAACGGUGAAAACAGCUCGCUGGGGGUGUGCUGACGCUGAGACACGAAAGCCAGGGGAGCGAACGGG